rnacentral:tRNA from 1 species
GAGGGUAUAGCUCAGUGGUGGAUUGCAUGCCUAGCAUGCACGAGGUCCUGGGUUCAAUUUCCAGUACCUCCA